rnacentral:lncRNA from 10 species
GUGAAACCCCACCUCUACUAAAAAUACAAAAGUUAGCCGGACUUGGUGGUGCACAUUUGUAAUCCCAGCUACUCGGGAGGCUGAGGCACGAGAAUCGCUUGAACCCAGGAGGCGGAGGUUGCAGUGACCCGAGAUCACACCACCGCACUCCAACCUGGGUGAUGGAGCGAGACCACAUCUAAAAUAAAUAAAUAAAUAAAUAAAUAGGCUGGCUGCGAUGGCUCACGCCUGUAAUCCCAGCCCUUUGGGAGGCCGAAGUGAGUGGACCACAAGGUCAAGAGAUUGAGAUCAUCCUGGCCAACAUGGUGAAACCCCGCCUCUACUAAAAAUACAAAAAUUAGCUGGGCGUGGUGGCGCACGCCCGUAGUCCCAGCUAUUCGGGAGGCUGAGGCAGGAGAAUCACUUGAACCUGGGAGGCGGAGGUUGCAGUGAGCCGAGAUCAGGCCACCGCACUCCAGCCUGGGCAACAGAGUGAGACUCUGUCUCAAAAAAAAAAAAAAAAAAAGAAAGAAAAAGUAUCUUUGCUGUAAUCAAUAGAAGGUCUUGAGAUGAGGCCAUCCUGGAUGACCAUGUGUGCCCUAAGUGCAACCAUGAAUGUCCGUAUAAGAAGAGAAGAAGGCUACGCGAGGACAGAGGCAGCGAUGGGAGUGAUGCGGCCACAAGCCAAGGAACACCUGGGGCCCCUGGAAGCUGGAAGAGGCAGGAAGGAUCUUCCCUCUCUCCACUCUGCAGACGCUUUGAUUUCAGACCGCUGGCCUCCGGAACCGGGAGAGAACACAUCUCUAUUGCUAGCCACCCAGUUUGCAGCAGUUUAUUAGGACAUCCCCGGGAAAUUAAUCACGGCUCCUGUCAUGUAAAAAGAUCGGUGGGUGGGCUCCGUCUUUGCCUCUCUGCAAAACCGUGAAGUCCCUAAACUUCCUUCCCACUCAUCUAGGGGGAGAGGAGAGGAAGGAGGGAAAGAGCGAGGGCCCUGAGUGGCUCUGAGUGCACAUGGGUGGGCUAGUUGCUGCAGAGACCACUGCAAAUUAACAGAGAUGAUAUAGAGAGACUGAGGCUGAGCAUGGUGGCUCACACCUGUAAGCAGCACUUUGGGAGGCAGAGGCAGGCGGAUCACUUGAGGUCAGGAGUUUGAAACCAGCCUGGCCAACACGGUGAAACCCCAUCUCUACUAAAAAUACAAAAAUUAGCCAGGCAUGGUGGUACAAGCCUGUAAUCCCAGUACUUCGGGAGUCUGAGGCAGGCAGAUCGCUUGACAUCAGGGGUUUGAAACCAGUCUGGCCAACAUGAUAAAACCCCGUCUCUACUAAAAAUACAAAAAUUAGCCGGGCAUGGUGGCACAUGCCUGUAAUCCCAAAUACUGGGGAGGCUGAGGCAGGAGAAUCACUUGAGCCCCGAAGGCGGAGGUUGCAGUGAGCUGAGAUUGCACCACUGCACUCCAGUCUGGGUGACAGAGUGAGGCUCCGACUCAGAAAAAAAAAAAAAGAAACCAAGAGAUGUCCUGUUGUCAAGGUUAAGUACUACCCCACCCCUCAACUGCCCUGUUAGGGAAAAUAAGGCAGUUGCAUUUUCAGACACGCAAGUGGGACCCGCCGAGAUUAAAAAUGCAAGAAGCAGCGGUUCACAGGAUGCCGAGGAUGACUGGACUUCCUGUCCACCCCCUGGGCCUGGCCAGAGCUUCUGCAGGCACUUCAGGCUCCCCUGAUGGUGGCGGUGAUGCCGUGGGUGCUCGGGGACAGUGGGAAUGCAGUGACACCACUCGGGCUAGAGAACCCCCCGGAGGCUCUUGCAUUGGUCGUCCUGGGCCAUGCACAGCCUGGAACUGGCCGCUAUCCAAUUUUGCAUCUGGGAAGUGUUCAUCGAUUGCUAGAAAAAUAAUCAGGUCGAACGCAGGCCAUUUCCGGUAAAGAGGCUCUAGGGAAGCACCUUCAGGCCAGAUGACUCAGGACUGUGCGGAGUGUGUGUGGUCUGGGAGCCGGCUGCCUGCCGGGCCCGGGUGCUCUGCAGGGAAACAGUUGGCUGCCUGAGGGCUCAUUCAUGGCUGUUUCCCCUGGAAGGGCGGCGCAGGAGCCCGGUUCUGCAGCCCUGCCGACGCCGUGUCACAGACACAGCUCUUCAUGGAUGCAUCUGGUUUCCCAUGGCUGCGGUAACAAGUGACCACAAGGUUGGCGGCUGGAAACAGCUUAAGUAUCCCAUCUUACGGUUCUGGAGGUCAGAAGUCUGAGAUCGGCAUCACUGGGCUAAAGUCAAGGUGUGGGCGGGGCUGGUUGCUCCUGGAACCUCCAGGGGAGAAUCGUCUCCUUGACUUUUCCAGCUUCUAGAGGCUGCCUGUACUCCUGGGCUCAUGGCCCCUUCGUCCAUCCUCAGAGUGCAUCACUCCAACCUCGGCUUCCAUCAUCACAGCACCUUCUCUUCUGACGCUGACCCUCUGGCCUCCCUCUUACAAGGGAGGCUUGUGAUUCCGUGGGGGCCACAGGAGAAUUCAGGCCGCUCUUCCCAUGUCACCACCCUUAGCAGAAUCACGUCUGCAGAGGCCCCGUUACAAUGAAUGCUGGGUCCAAUCGCGUUUCCCAAAAAUCCAUGUCCACCUGGGACCUCAGAAUGGGACCUUAUAUGGAACUAGGGUCUCUGCAGAUGUAAUCACAUUAAGAUGAUGUCACACUCAACUAGGAUGGGCCCUAAUCUAGUGCCUGAUGUCUUCAUAAGAAGAGGAAAGUUUGGACACAGAUGCACCGGGAAGGUGGCCAUGUGAAGAGGAAGUCGGAGAUUGGAAUGGCCACAGACGGGACAUCAGGCAUUGCCGGCCACCAGAAGCUGAGACAUGUGCAGAUGGAUCCUCCCUAGGCCCUUCGGGAAGAGCAUGGCCCCUUCGACACCUUGAUCUUGGACUCCUGGCCUCCAGGACUGUGGGAAAAUGCGUUUGCGUUGUUUGAAGCCCCCUGUUUCUGGUACUUAGUUACAGCCGCCCUAGGAGCAAAUGCAUCGUGUAAGGGCACAUUUGCAAGCUCCAGGAGUCAGGAACAGGCCUAGACGGGGUGCCAUUAUUCAGCCCUCCACAGACCCUUAGCAGGGCGGAGAAAUGGGCCAAGCCCCCUGUCAAGGAAGAGCUGGAGAGUGGAGAGGGCACCUGGAAGGGUGUCAGAGUGGCGUGGCUCUGCAGAACGGGGCCUGUCACAGGGCAGGUGCUCAAGCCCAUGUGGAUAAGGUGCGUAAGUUGAGACUGUCACAUGUGAAGGUGGCCUCUGCUGCCAGGCGGGCCAUGAGACUCUUUUUUUUUUUUUUUUUUUUUUUUUUUUUUACACAGAAUCUUGCUCUGUUACCCAGGCUGGAGUGCAGUGGUGUGAUCUCGGCUCACUGCAAUCUCUGCCUCCUGGGCUCAAGUGAUUUUCCCACCUCGCCUCAGCCUCCCAACUAGCUGGGAAUACAGGCAUGCACCACCAUGCCCGGCUAAUUUUUUGUUUUUUGUAGGGAUGAGCGUCUUGCUAUGUCGCUCAGGCUGGUCUUGAACUCCUGGCCUCAAGUGAUCCUCUUGCCUUGGCCUCUCAAAGUGCUGGGAUUAUAGGCGUGCGCCACUGCACCCGGCCUGAGACCUUUUCUUUCUUUCUUUUCUUUUCCUUUUUUUUUUUUAAUUGAGGCGGAGGUUCUCUCUUGUUGCCCAGGCUGGAGUGCAAUUGUGCGAUCUCGGGUCACUGCAACCUCCACCUCCCAGAUUCUCCUGCCUCAGCCUCCGAAGUAGCUGGGAUAACAAUCAUGCGCCACCACGCCCAGCUAAGGUUUUUUAUUUUUAGUAGAGACAGGUUUUCACCAUGUUGGCCAGGUGGGUCUUGAACUCCUGACCUCAAGUGAUCUGCCCUCUUCGGCCUCCCAAAGUGCUGGGAUUACAGGCGUGAACCACUGCACCCGGCCUGAGACCAUUUUUUAAAAGUGUACAUAGACCCCAACUGGGUGAGCUAAUGGAACCACCUCAGUAUUCCAGAGCAAGACACAGAAGGACGCUGAGGGAGGGACUGACCCUGGGACACUGGGAUCCCAAAUCCCUGGUCGUCUUGGUGCCUGCCUUCAACACACCUGCCUCUCCUCAUGUGGGCUAACCUGGCAUCUGAGUCUGUUUCAGACACUAAUUUCUUCCCUGUUCCUAGAGCACUGGAUGGCCACACCCUCCUGCAGAGACAAACCUUUCUACUGCUCCAUCCCCGCCCCAGGCUCCAACCCUGCGCUCCACCCAGAGGGGAUGCUGGGAGGGAUAGCUCUUCCUCCAUGGGCCAGCCCUUAGCUCUGCGGGGGCGGGUGCUCUGU